GUUUCGGCUAAGCCAUGCGAGCCUAGGGAUCGCAAGAUGCCGGCAUACUGCUCAGUAACACGCGGAUAAUCUGCCCCCAGGUGAAGAAUACCCUCGGGAAACUGAGGCUAAUACUUCAUAAUCACUAUAUGCUGGAAUGCUUAGGUAAUGAAAGAAUUUCGCCUGAGGAUGAGUCUGCGGCCUAUCAGGUCGUAUGUGGUGUAAUGGACCACAUAGCCUAAGACGGGUACGGGCCUUGAAAGAGGGAGCCCGGAGAUGGACUCUGAGACAUUAGUCCAGGCCCUACGGGGCGCAGCAGGCGCGAAAACUGUGCAAUGCGCGAAAGCGCGACACGGGAAGCCUGAGUGCCUUAACACAGUUAAGGCUUUUCUCAAGCCUAAAAAGCUUGAGGAA
rnacentral:rRNA from 1 species